ACAUGCAAGUCGAACGAAGUAGCAAUACUUAGUGGCAGACGGGUGAGUAACAUGUGGGUAUCUUCCCUAUGGUGAGGAAUAACACGAGGAAACUUGUGCUAAUACCUCAUAAGUCUUUACGGAGAAAGCUUUAUGCGCCAUUGGAUGAGCCCGCACUUGAUUAGUUUGUUGGUAGGGUAAUGGCCUACCAAGACUGUGAUCAAUAGCUGAUUUGAGAGGAUGAUCAGCCACAUUGGGACUGAGACACGGCCCAAACUCCUACGGGAGGCAGCAGUAAGGAAUCUUGCACAAUGGAGGAAACUCUGAUGCAGCGAUGCCGCGUGAGUGAAGAAGGCCCUUGGGUUGUAAAGCUCUUUCGUCGGGGAAGAAAAUGACUGUACCCGAAUAAGAAGGUCCGGCUAACUUCGUGCCAGCAGCCGCGGUAAUACGAAGGGACCUAGCGUAGUUCGGAAUUACUGGGCUUAAAGAGUUCGUAGGUGGUUAAAAAAGUUGGUGGUGAAAUCCCAGAGCUUAACUCUGGAACUGCCAUCAAAACUUUUUAGCUAGAGUAUGAUAGAGGAAAGCAGAAUUUCUAGUGUAGAGGUGAAAUUCGUAGAUAUUAGAAAGAAUACCAAUUGCGAAGGCAGCUUUCUGGAUCAUUACUGACACUGAGGAACGAAAGCAUGGGUAGCGAAGAGGAUUAGAUACCCUCGUAGUCCAUGCCGUAAACGAUGUGUGUUAGACGUUGGAAAUUUAUUUUCAGUGUCGCAGCGAAAGCGAUAAACACACCGCCUGGGGAGUACGACCGCAAGGUUAAAACUCAAAUGAAUUGACGGGGACCCGCACAAGUAGUGGAGCAUGUGGUUUAAUUCGAAGAUACGCGCAGAACCUUACCAACACUUGACAUGUUCGUCGCGACUUUAAGAGAUUAA
rnacentral:rRNA from 1 species